GCCCCGGGGGUGCGGCCAUUGAUUGCAAGAGCCCAUCUGGAUUCUGCCCGAGCCGAGAACUGCUCCAAGAAGCCACAGCGUGCGCAGCGGCAGGCUUGUGGAACUCAAGGUGAAGGGACUGUGCAUUGCCUCACUCUGGUGGGUGAGCCUGCGUUCCCUGCCAGCUGCUGCUACUCUGCCUGGGGGAAGCUGCCUCUACUCAGUGGGUCUGCGGUUGGGAGCCCACGAAUGCAGACUGCGCCAUUGAUCUGCGCCAUUUUAUAUAGGGGACCUGAGAAUCCAUGGAUUUCAAUAUCCAUGGCGGGGGGGCGGGUGUCCUAGAACCAAUCCUCACAGGAUCCCAAGGGACAAUGAAUUUUGGGGGAGUCAAAAGUCCUAGUGGCCCUGGCCAGUGUGGCUCAGUUGGUUGGAGCAUCGCCCCGUGCACCAAAGGGUCUCGGGUUCGAAUCCUGGUUGGGGCGCAUAUGGGAGGCAACCAAUGGCUGUUUCUCACAUCGAUGUUUCUCUCUCUCACUCUCCCUCUCCCUUUCUCUUUCUCUAACAUUAAUU